rnacentral:rRNA from 1 species
CCUACGGGAGGCUGCAGUGAGGAAUAUUGGUCAAUGGGCGCGAGCCUGAACCAGCCAAGUAGCGUGAAGGAUGACUGCCCUACGGGUUGUAACCUUCUUUUAUAAAGGAAUAAAGUGAGGCACGUGUGCCUUUUUGUAUGUACUUUAUGAAUAAGGAUCGGCUAACUCCGUGCCAGCAGCCGCGGUAAUACGGAGGAUCCGAGCGUUAUCCGGAUUUAUUGGGUUUAAAGGGAGCGUGGAUGGGUUGUUAAGUCAGUUGUGAAAGUUUGCGGCUCAACCGUAAAAGUGCAAUUGAUACUGGCAGCAGGGAGUACAGUUGAGGUAGGCGGAAUUCGUGGUGUAGCGGUGAAAUGCUUAGAUAUCACGAAGAACUCCGAUUGCGAAGGCAGCUUACUAAACUGCCACUGACAUUGAUGCUCGAAAGUGUGGGUAUCAAACAGGAUUAGAGACCCCUGUAGUC